UCUUGACAUCCACGGAAUUUGGCAGAGAUGCCUUAGUGCCUUCGGGAACCGUGAGACAGGUGCUGCAUGGCUGUCGUCAGCUCGUGUUGUGAAAUGUUGGGUUAAGUCCCGCAACGAGCGCAACCCUUUAUCCUUUGUUGCCAGCGAUUCGGUCGGGAACUCAAAGGAGACUGCCGGUGAUAAACCGGAGGAAGGUGGGGAUGACGUCAAGUCAUCAUGGCCCUUACGAGUAGGGCUACACACGUGCUACAAUGGCGCAUACAAAGAGAAGCGACCUCGCGAGAGCAAGCGGACCUCAUAAAGUGCGUCGUAGUCCGGAUCGGAGUCUGCAACUCGACUCCGUGAAGUCGGAAUCGCUAGUAAUCGUGGAUCAGAAUGCCACGGUGAAUACGUUCCCGGGCCUUGUACACACCGCCCGUCACACCAUGGGAGUGGGUUGCAAAAGAAGUAGGUAGCUUAACCUUCGGGAGGGCGCUUACCACUUUGUGAUUCAUGACUGGGGUGAAGUCGUAACAAGGUAAGCGUAGCGAG
rnacentral:rRNA from 1 species